rnacentral:rRNA from 1 species
GAUGAACGCUGGCGGCGUGCCUAAUACAUGCAAGUCGAGCGAACGGACGAGAAGCUUGCUUCUCUGAUGUUAGCGGCGGACGGGUGAGUAACACGUGGAUAACCUACCUAUAAGACUGGGAUAACUUCGGGAAACCGGAGCUAAUACCGGAUGAUAUUUUGAACCACAUGGUUCAAAAGUGAAAGACGGUCUUGCUGUCACUUAUAGAUGGAUCCGCGCUGCAUUAGCUAGUUGGUAAGGUAACGGCUUACCAAGGCAACGAUGCAUAGCCGACCUGAGAGGGUGAUCGGCCACACUGGAACUGAGACACGGUCCAGACUCCUACGGGAGGCAGCAGUAGGGAAUCUUCCGCCAUGGGCGAAAGCCUGACGGCGCAACGCCGCGUGAGUGAUGAAGGUCUUCGGAUCGUAAAACUCUGUUAUUAGGGAAGAACAUAUGUGUAAGUAACUGUGCACAUCUUGACGGUACCUAAUCAGAAAGCCACGGCUAACUACGUG